rnacentral:rRNA from 1 species
GACGAACGCUGGCGGCGCGCUUAACACAUGCAAGUCGAACGGAAAGGCCUGCUUUCCCUUGUGGAUUGCGGGUACUCGCGUGGCGAACGGGUGAGUAACACGUGAGUUAUCUGCCCCCAACUUUGGUAUAAGCCUGGGAAACUGGGUCUAAUUCCCGAUAGGACUGCAGGGUGGUGCCUGUGGUGGAAAACGAUUUUCUAGUGGUUGGGGAUGAGCUCGCGGCCUAUCAGCUUGUUGGUGGGGUAAUGGCCUACCAAGGCGGCGACGGGUAGCCUGCCUGGGAGGGUGGACGGCAGCAUUGGGACUGAGAUACGGCCCAGACUCCAACGGGAGGCAGCAGUGGGGAAUAUGGAACGAUGGGCGGAAGCCUGAUGCAGCGACGCCGAGUGGGGGAUGACGGCCUUCGGGUUGUAAACUCCUUUCGGCCGCGAGGAAGCCACCUGGUUGGAAGGGUGGUGACGGUAGUGGUAGAAGAAGCACCGGCUAACUACGUG